GGGCAGGUACCUGAGUGGUCAAAAGGACCUCGCUGUAAACGAGGCGGGCGAAAGCCCUACCCAGGUUCGAAUCCUGGCCUGCCCA
rnacentral:tRNA from 1 species